CCUUCUUAAAGCACAGCGUGGAUACUUUGAUCCAUUUGUGUAGCAGUAUGAAAGCUACCACGCGGCUGUCAUCACUGAAACCAAAUCAGAGCUCUAGUUCAGAGAGCAACAGUUAUUUCUACAAGGAUAUUUAUUGGCAGUGCUCCUUUUUCCCCCAACAAAAUACUAACAGCCUAUUUAAUAACCAAUGAUGUAUGACCUAAGCGCAUGAUGAACUAACUCUACUGUCGUUGGAUGGAAGUGAUUAUCUAUUUUAUACUACCGUGGGCAGAGGUCAUAUUUACAGAGGUCAUCUUUAAGAGACGCAUUUUAGAGUGCUUUGAAGCUGGCAGCCCACACGUAAAAGCACAGCCUACGUGGACCUGAGAGCUACGAGCCAACAGAAUUUAAUACCAUGCAUUAAAAAUCGCUGCAGCCCAGCCGACAACUACUGAUUAUUAAUGCAAGUGCAUGAAAUUGCUACAGUCUAAUAUAAUCGUGAUGAUUUAGCUAGACUCGGAUGUAAAUGAGAUUAAAUGAUGCCCAGGACAAAGUGACCUAGCCAUCCCUUUCCCUGCAUUAUACAUGCAUUAAGUAACUGUACAGUACUUUCAUUUUGGGUUCAGAAAGCCCUGCUGUGGGAUUAUAAAUGUAUUUAAAUCACAUUCGAAACAGUUGUGCAACUGCAUUAAGAAAGAGACUGUUAAGGAUCACUGUCGCUGUCCUCCCCGUAGUGGACACUAAACUUCUGUUGACAGUCCACUCCUGUCUGUGUCUCCUGAUGGCUCCAGACUGUGAUAAUAGCGUCUCUGUUUAUAAGCACAGAACUUUGUCACUGCCUGAGCAGAAGAGUCCAUUUUGAAGCUGCUUAAGUAGAAAACCUAAUGGACCUGUCAUGGAGCCUUGAGGAACCCCACACUCAAUUAUUUGUAUGAUUACCUCUCCUUCUGGUGGAUUAAAUAAAUGGGUGUCCCUGUAUCUCUGCAGUUUUCUAUCAGGGAAAUAAUACUGUAGCUAUAAACAUGUACUGUAGAUACACAAAUGUUUAUCUCGCCUUUAAAUAAACCCCUUUCUUA
ensembl:lncRNA